CUGCAUCCCUGCCCUCAGCUCUGCCACUUCUGAACCACCCACAGAAAAGCCAGUUCCAGCAGAAGUCAGUGAGACAUGUACGCACUCGGCCAUCGGUGAUUUGCAAACAUCACUCGUGCUCCCAGAGACCAGCAAGAGCACUCGCACCUUUGCGCAAAGACUGUCACCCAGGGUCCUCCUGCCCACCUUGGGAACAGGUGACAGCCAGCCUGGCCACAAGGGCUCUGUGCUCCUCAUGGCUGAAUGUGAUGUGCAGCUAAAGGUCUGAGAGAAACCCACCUUGGAUGCUCUUCUGGAACAAAGAGCCUCAGAUUACAUCACUGGGGAGUCCCCUUUCCCACCAGCAACCCUUUGCAGAGCCCCUACCAUCUCUGUGCAGCGUAAAGGGACCCAGCACUGCACCAAGGAUGUCACGGCAAAUGUGAAAGGCCAAACCAUGGUGGGAUCAAACCCCCCCAGCCUCCCGCUUCUCUCCCCCGCAUCCCUGCCUAGUAGAGAGAGAGGCUAUCCAGCCCCACGCUGCUGCAACACCCACAGUGCUCAGAGUUACGAGCAGCUCUCAGGAAUGCUUUGAAGUGGCUCAAACCAGAGGAGAAAGCACAAGCAAGACAGAGGGAUGAGGGUGCCGUCCAUGCUCUCCAGAGACAGCGGGAAGCUGACAAUGCAGCUGGAAGCAAACGGUUACGGUCGCGGCCAUCCCUGAAGCAGCUCGCUGCAACAUCGCUCCCCGACAGCUCGACAUACCCAGGAGCAGCUUUUGGAACCACUCGGACAUGCACCAUUAGCCAGCAUUUGCAGGGAAGCUGGGGAAUUAAAUGAAGUUAUUCAUUUCUCCCUUCUCCCCCACCCAUCCGAGUGCCCCCCACGCAUGGCCAGCGAGGUGAAGCCCACACCAGGUCACCGGCCACCAGCUCCGGCACCGCGCAAGGAACGGCUGCGUGACACGCAGGCAGCUCCUGCUCUGCCAGCCAGGAUGGGAGGGCAAAAACCAGGGGAAGAUACUUUUGGCAAGUAGAGAAAGCUCAACCACAACACACACACAAACUCAGGAGCCAACCUUCAGAGCAGAAACGCGUCUCCAUGCCAAGAGCUCGGCUAUUUUCCUCCCUCUUCCCGGCUCGCAGCUCUGAGCUAACAGGCUCAGCAUUCAUCCCCCCGCGCCGUGCGGCACAUGGGAGCCGGCGGGGAGAGACAGACUCAAAUGAAAUCCAGACCUAGAAAGCAGUUUCUUUUUCCCCCUUGCUUCCCCCCGCCCCAGCUUCUGCUGGAACCACCUUCUGUCUAGAGGGCUCAGGAGGAUGGAGGAAAGAAAAAAAGGCAGAAAGGAAGCAUUGCAAAAAAAAAAAAAAAAAAAAAAAAAAGAAAA